ACCCAAAGCAUUGUUACGUGCAGUCAGGUAGAGAGCCCAAUAUGCAGAGCCAGACACAAUCCAGGUCAAAAAAUAAUAUCUUUAAUUUAGUAGAGCAAGAACCAAGUAACAAAGGAAUAGCAAAAACUUCUGAGUCCAAACAGCGGUAGAACGGUGCAACUAAGGUAGUAAAACAAAGAGGCACCGUGGAAAAAGGCAACAACUCACUGAUGAGCAGACGGCGUCACAGGAGGCAAGGAGCACAUGGAACAGACUAAGAAAUAUCACAGCAAUCUUAAGGCCAAGAGCACAGGUGCAAACAAACUGGUGUUUCGCGGGCAGCAUGCAAACCAGUAGUAACAACGUCCUCCUCCUGCAGCCAUGUGGCUUAAGAGCCCUUGAUGACCAAGUGGCUACAGGUGUGCCUCGUGGCGCCGCCCACUCAGGGAGUGAAGGGAUCUACAAAGAAACACACAGGUCAAAAGGUGACAACACCAAAAUGAAACAAACCUAACAAGCAUCUUGUUAUCAACUACCAUUGCACUUAAAUUUUCCACAAACCUGUGAUGUCCUGUUUGCUAUGGCAGGUUGUUCAACAGUGCAGAGUUCAUGUGGAUAACUGUAAUUCCUCUCGAAUCACGGUUGGACAAGUACACGGACAACCUGAUGAAGGUAUUCCUCAUCAAGGGGGGAGUUGCAGGAAAGAAGAUCCUUCAAAUAAUGUCACUGAUAACUAAGACAGAUGACAUACACAUCAAGCGAGAAUGCGUCUUGAAAUACCUGUGUGUCUACCUGAAUGAGGACACCAAGCCACUCAUCAGCGUGGGUGAGGGACAAUAAACUACCGGCUGUGUAGUGAGCAAUAUCAACAUAUACGACAUGGAGAGGGAAUUUCCUCUGACCACCAUGGGGGUCUACGUGGUUAUGAAAAAAAAUACAGAGCCCGAAGAAGAUGCAGAGGAUGUGGAGCGUUCAUUGAAGGCGGAUGUCCUUGUUGGCAUACCAAGUAUGACUUGUGGAUGUACCAUGCAGUUUGGAUUGGUCUAUGCACUCAAUUUGAGCUACCUCCAAGCGUGGAAAGGUGCAUUUAAAGUGUUCCAUAAGAUACUGAUGAACCUAGAUGGUAAGAAGUGUUCACCAAAAGUUCAGUCAUUGGAAACCAAGAUGCUGCAGUGAUAUACUGUAUAUGGUGCAGUCAUGCCUCACCAGUGGAUUCUUUUUGACUCUUCGUUCUAUACUUGAAUUGUGGACUUCUGAUGGAAAAAAAAAUCUCAGACACGGUUGCAUUGUUAUUGCUGCACUUAAAAGUAUAGUCCUCCCUUGUUUAUAGCGGUUAAUUGACUCCAGACCUGACAGGGAUAAAUGAUUUUCCACGAUAUAGGAUUCAGUGUUAAUAAAUGGAAUAUGUUUGUAGUUGGAGCAUAGAAAACCUGUUUCUGACUUUCUAAAUACGGGUUUUCACGUUAUUAGAGCCGUGUAGACAUGAAAUAACACAUGAAAUACACUCCUAUUGUUCAUUGUUUACACCACAUAGCGCUACUCUUACUAGCGAGCUAACCAGUUAGCCUCAAAUUUAUUUCUUGUAACCUUAAGAAGCCAAAAACUUAGCACUUCACACGGAAUAGGGGAAGAACUUUUUUUCACUCUAUUACGUCGGACACUUCUGAGCUCUGGCCUGGCAUGGCCACUGGAACAGGUGGAGGAGGUGGUCAAGAGGAGGAUGACAGCCAAGCUGUUCUCCAUGAUGGACAAAGACUCCCACCCACUCCAACACACACUCACUGCACUCAGGAGCUCCAUUAGUGACAGGAUGAUGCAUCCAAAGUGUGUGAAGUAGAGGUAUCGCAGGUCUUUCCUUCCUGCAGCUGUCAGACUCGAUAAGAAAAACUGAUCCAAAAAUCCUGCACAAUAACCGUGCAAUAAACCAUGCAAUAUCCAUGCAAUGAACCGUGCAAUAAACCUGUGGCUUGAUCAACAUGUACACAGCUGUACAUAUAAUAGUGCAUAUAACUUCUUUGCUUGUAUUUGUACGACCUUGAUUUUGCACUCUCUAUGCUCUUGUGUGCUCUUGUACUUUUCUCUUGUGUGCUUUUGUACUUAUGCUAUGAUGUGCUCUUGUACUUUUGCUGCUGUAAACCUGGAAUUUACCCUUGUGGGACUAAUAAAGACAUAUCUCAUCUUAUCAUAUGCCAUGGCUGACUUCAUGACUUCAUGCAGUAUUAUAAGGUAAUGUAAUUUAAGCUAAUGUCUCAAUGUUUUGUGUCAUCACUGCCGCCUAGGGACCAGAAUACUAUAUAUGACUUGUAUUUCAAUAGGUUUUGACUAAUAAUAGAACAUAGUCUACUACAAAACAGCAAUCAUUCAUUAAUUUCUGAAAACCCACGAUGUAGCCAGGGAGCGAUAAUCGAAACGCCAUAUUGCAAGGGAUGACUAUAAACCUGGGUUUCCCUUGGACAUCGUUUGACUUAACAUACCAAAGGGUGCAUUUAUGAUGCCCAUGCUUUUUGUGUUAAGUGUGCAACACAAAUUCUUUUGUGUGGAUAAUGACAUUACUCUCUGUGAAGCACCUCUCAGCAUAUUUUCAGGGCACUGAGUUUUUUACUAAAUUGUCUUGGCUAUGGACAGAGUUAAAUUUUUUGUCUUUUAGUCAUACAUUGUUAACGUUUUGAAACUCCAGGGUCUUCUUUAAAAAAAAAAAAACUUGUUAAGUUUAUUGUAGCAAAAGAGUCAUUUAUUGGGUAAUUUUAGAAGUGUUUCGAGACUGUUAACACUAAACUUUUGUCAUUUUCUUUAAACUGUUUGUUCUGUCUGUCUUUACUGUUCUUUGGUAUCACCAUAUCUACGUAACUUAUUGUGUGGAGGUAUACUCCAGUAUAUAUAUAUAUAUAUAUAUACAGUAUAUAUAUAUAUACACACAGUAUAU